AGGAACCAGAUUGGACCAUGGAUAUCUCUGCCUGCAAAACCUCUUGUGCUUUCAAGUUGAAGGUAACGGAAAAGUAUCAGAGUAACUUUAAAAAGGAACCAGCCAUGCAAAGAUCUGUGACAAGAACAUUCUAGGGCUAGAAUCUAGGACCACUUUGGACAUUCAAAGCAAAGGAAGGAAGAGGAAGGGGAGCAUGGGGGAGAUGAAACGCAAGGAAGGCAGAGUGUACAAUGUCUAUGUAAGCACAACAAGAAAGCAACUUAACUGCCUGCAGCAUCAGACCAAGUUCCUGGAUCAUAAGUUUGAAAGCAGCUUCUAGAUGACGCUUGUGGAUAUUUGGAAUAAUAUCUACUAAUUUCUGUUAAGCAGCUAUGUUUCAACUCCACUUCAAUAAAAACAGCCAAAUUUCUCUCCUGGAAAUUCUUAA
rnacentral:lncRNA from 10 species